rnacentral:rRNA from 1 species
GGGUUGUGAGGUUAAGCGACUAAGCGUACACGGUGGAUGCCCUGGCAGUCAGAGGCGAUGAAGGACGUGCUAAUCUGCGAUAAGCGCCGGUAAGGUGAUAUGAACCGUUAUAACCGGCGAUUUCCGAAUGGGGAAACCCAGUGUGACUCGUCACACUAUCAUUAACUGAAUCCAUAGGUUAAUGAGGCGAACCGGGGGAACUGAAACAUCUAAGUACCCCGAGGAAAAGAAAUCAACCGAGAUUCCCCCAGUAGCGGCGAGCGAACGGGGAGGAGCCCAGAGCCUGAAUCAGCAUGUGUGUUAGUGGAAGCGUCUGGAAAGGCGCGCGAUACAGGGUGACAGCCCCGUACACAAAAGCGCAUAUGCUGUGAGCUCGAUGAGUAGGGCGGGACACGUGGUAUCCUGUCUGAAUAUGGGGGGACCAUCCUCCAAGGCUAAAUACUCCUGACUGACCGAUAGUGAACCAGUACCGUGAGGGAAAGGCGAAAAGAACCCCGGCGAGGGGAGUGAAAAAGAACCUGAAACCGUGUACGUACAAGCAGUGGGAGCCCCACCACUAAGCCAGUGGUGAACUCCACAUACGCAUCCUUUGCUGAGGAUACGGUUAACGGAGCGAAAGCGACGUUCAACCUCAAAAGAAGCAGAGGGGGCUUAGUGGUGGGGUGACUGCGUACCUUUUGUAUAAUGGGUCAGCGACUUAUAUUCUGUAGCAAGGUUAACCGAAUAGGGGAGCCGGAGGGAAACCGAGUCUUAAUUGGGCGUUAAGUUGCAGGGUAUAGACCCGAAACCCGGUGAUCUAGCCAUGGGCAGGUUGAAGGUUGGGUAACACUAACUGGAGGACCGAACCGACUAAUGUUGAAAAAUUAGCGGAUGACCUGUGGCU